rnacentral:rRNA from 1 species
AUUGAACGCUGGCGGCAGGCCUAACACAUGCAAGUCGAACGGUAGCACAGAGAGCUUGCUCUCGGGUGACGAGUGGCGGACGGGUGAGUAACGUCUGGGAAACUGCCCGAUGGAGGGGGAUAACUACUGGAAACGGUAGCUAAUACCGCAUAACGUCGCAAGACCAAAGUGGGGGACCUUCGGGCCUCACACCAUCGGAUGUGCCCAGAUGGGAUUAGCUAGUAGGUGGGGUAAUGGCUCACCUAGGCGACGAUCCCUAGCUGGUCUGAGAGGAUGACCAGCCACACUGGAACUGAGACACGGUCCAGACUCCUACGGGAGGCAGCAGUGGGGAAUAUUGCACAAUGGCGCAAGCCUGAUGCAGCCAUGCCGCGUGUAUGAAGAAGGCCUUCGGGUUGUAAAGUACUUUCAGCGGGGAGGAAGGCGGUGGAGUUAAUAACUUCACCGAUUGACGUUACCCGCAGAAGGAGCACCGGCUAACUCCGUGCCAGCCGCCGCCGUAA